CGGCGGACGGGUGAGUAACGCGUGGGUAACCUACCCUGUACACACGGAUAACAUGCCGAAAGGUAUGCUAAUACGGGAUAAUAUAUUUGAGAGGCAUCUCUUGAAUAUCAAAGGUGAGCCAGUACAGGAUGGACCCGCGUCUGAUUAGCUAGUUGGUAAGGUAACGGCUUACCAAGGCGACGAUCAGUAGCCGACCUGAGAGGGUGAUCGGCCACAUUGGAACCGAGACACGGUCCAA
rnacentral:rRNA from 1 species